GAGUUUCUCAAAGCGUGAGAGAAGCUGCAGUUAACCUGUCUGCAGCUGUAGUUUCCCCUCUUGCUCAAGGUGAAAGCUUCUCAUGGGCUUCACCCUUAGGAGGAACUGGGUGCUGUGAACUCUAGGACUUUGCAGAAUGGCGGCACGAGGGACACCUGUGCUUGAAGUAUCUUCUUUUUACCAUUGUCAAAGAACUUGCUACACUUUCCAUACACCUGGCAUCGCUGCAUGAGGCCAUCCUUGACCAGUAUGUGGAGCUGACAAGUUCCAGACUUUUUCCUGCUGAAGAAGAGGCUGAGCAUGAGCAGAGACCAAAAAAACGGUGGCCAACAGUGACAGCACAGAAAAGGCCAGCGCUGCUCAACCCCGGGCUCCCCCUUCUGUUUCUUCUCCUGUCAACUUGGAAGACCCACCCCACCCACUCCUCAUAUAAUUGAUAGGGCACUGUCAGGCAGGUGGUGUAAGUGGUUUAUUUUAGAGAAGGUUAUUACUGGCCACAAAACUUCAAGUCAGCUAUUUUCAAGGACCCUUAGGAAGGAAGUGCCUGUUUAGGGUGUCCACCCUCGAAAGCCCAGGACAGAGGUCUUACUGUACUUCUGCACCCAACCACAUUUAAUCCAUUCAUAAGGCUC
rnacentral:lncRNA from 1 species